GCCCUUUUUUUAUUGCUUUUCUAGCCAUGUCUCCGCUGCGUGCUCCCUUACUUCGCGUUGUCCCGGCUUUGCUAUCUUGCCUCGCGCUGCUGUCGCUGUCCUGCCUCACGACGUUGCCUUGUCUGUGGGUGUUGUCGUAUGGGUGUUGUAUCGCACGAUGCUCCCUGCUGCGACCUGUGGGUGUUGUCGUGUUAGAAGUUGCUAGUGUCGCCAUCGCUGCUGCUCUCUUCUCCGC
rnacentral:lncRNA from 1 species